rnacentral:tRNA from 18 species
GGAGCAGCCUGGUAGCUCGUCGGGCUCAUAACCCGAAGGUCGUCGGUUCAAAUCCGGCC